CUGUGUUAUGGAAGGAUUAUUGAAAAGCAUGUAAGAGAGCAUCAAAACCUCAACGUUCCCUGUGCCAGGGUGUGACUCCAAAGCCUGCUUCUCCCUUAGCCUGAGAAUGAGCCUGAAGACCGAGGUAUUCUCUCCCCAGCUUCAAGAAAGCCAGACCCAGGGACAAGCACCUGGGACCACAUUGGGUUCUUGCUUCCAUCCCAAGAACUGGCUGCAAGGACCACUGUGGUGAUGCCAACUAGCCCAGGGAGAGCUCAGGCCUGGACCACUGGUCUUCCCCUUACUGACCCCCCAAGAGGUCAGAGGGCGGUCAGCCAGAGUUCAGAGGUUGGGAAGGGCAGGGCCUGCUCUAAGGAACUCAGCAGGACACAGCAGGUUCAGGCCUGGCGCUGGGCAAAAGGCUAGGUAGAGGCCACAGCAGCCUCUGAGAUGUGUCAGAUGAAGAAGGGUGACACCACUAGAAGGCUGGGCUGGCAGGAUCUACCUUUCUUUGCUGACUGGUUGAAGGGAUCAGAAGCCUCUCUGAAAUUUUCAAGGCUUUGGGGGAGAGUAAUGACCGGUCCAUGAUAAGCAACUCAGAAGAGGCUAGCCUCACAGCUUUUCCCAAGGAGAUCUUACUUGGGAAGAUAAGGGAAAUACAGCCGAUGGAGUGAAUGUUUCUGCAGUCAAGGGAAGCCCUGAAAAGUCAAGAUGCCUCUGCAUCAGCUAUUAGGUUGAAGGGGACCUUAGAGAUGAUACAGUCCAGAUUCCUCAUUGUCCAGAAGGAAGAAAUUGAGACCUGAGGACCACAGGUGAGGGAUGGGGGUUAAAGUCUC